rnacentral:rRNA from 1 species
GACGAACGCUGGCGGCGUGCUUAACACAUGCAAGUCGAGCGGUAAGGCCCUUUCGGGGGUACACGAGCGGCGAACGGGUGAGUAACACGUGGGUGACCUGCCCUCAGCUCUGGGAUAAGCCCGGGAAACUGGGUCUAAUACCGGAUAUGACUCCAUGACGCAUGUUGUGGGGUGGAAAGCCUUGUGCGGCUGAGGAUGGGCCCGCGGCCUAUCAGCUUGUUGGUGGGGUGANGGCCUACCAAGGCGACGACGGGUAGCCGGCCUGAGAGGGCGACCGGCCACACUGGGACUGAGAUACGGCCCAGACUCCUACGGGAGGCAGCAGUGGGGAAUCUUGCGCAAUGGGCGAAAGCCUGACGCAGCGACGCCGCGUGAGGGAUGACGGCCU